rnacentral:lncRNA from 1 species
AAAUUGAGUUAUAAUGCAUGAUGAUAUCCAGGAAAUAGAUGGGUGAUGAAUUUAUGAUUGUGGUCAUGAUGUUGGGCAUGGUGUUUGAAUGAAUUUUGUGUGAGGAAGCAUGUGUGUGAGAUUUUGAGCUCCAGAGUUUUUAUUGUUGCAUGUAUUAUUCACAGGAAAACAUGGAUGAUAUUGCCUUAAUCUUGAUGAUCGAUUGAAUUGCAUGUAAAUGUCAUAUGAUCAAGGCCAUUUUUGAAAACCCUUCUCUACCCAAAUUUUCACCCAAAGUGUUUGAAAUAUUAUUCCCUUUUUGAACCUUAGUCUUAAACAAGAUGUGAUCCCUUGUUUUGAAAUUCUUUACCUUGUGUUGGGAUGAGCUAACUUGUAUGUGAUGAAAAGGUUCAAGUUUGGGGUUGUAUGGGGGAAAAUUGAAAAAGCAAAUGAAGGGCAUUGAGCUCAAUUGUUGUGAAAAGAGAAANUUCAUGAGAAAAAGAAAAGAAAAGAAGAAAAGCAUGAAGAAGAGCUCAAUGCAAAAGAAAAAGAAAAGGGAAAAAUUGGGAAUGAGAGACAUUGGUGAGAGUGGUGCUUAAAUGUUGAAUAUUUUGUUAGCUCUCUUGAUUGAAGGAUUUUGCAUUCUAGAAAAACCAAUUCU